GAACUGCGGCGGGGGUGGCUGGGCCACCGGAGGGAAGCGGGUGUGGCCCAGGCAGCGGGGGCUGGGACAGACCUGGAAAGGAGGAAGCGGGGAAGGAAGGUUGUCCUGCCGGGCUGUGGGCUCCCGGGAAUCCGGAGGCCAGCAGUGGAACCGCAAGGGUCUACAGGGCAGAUCUGCCUCCCAGCGUGUUUCAGCUACGCCGAGUCGUUGGCUCAAGGCGGAGGAUUUUCCUAUUGGCUGCGUUAUUUGAAUGGAAUGGAGGAUAGGUCGUGAAGUAGGUGCUGGUGGUUGCUCUAAGAAACUCAGAUGAACUUGGGCAUGUCAGAAUUAAUAACCUUUUAAAAGUGAGGUCUGUGUAGCCGAGGGUUUUUAUGUCCUACACAGGGAGUUGACCAGAACCAACACGGAACCACCCUAACUUGCUUCAGACUCCAUUGCUAGAUCAAUCCUGAUUUCUAGAUCAUAGCAUCUAAUCCUUUGCCUUGCCUCUGGAUUACACGGGUGGAACCAAGCAGAGGGGUUCACCCAAGCCAUCCUUGGGUGUUUCCAUGGGAAAGAAGGAUUUUACUGAGAAUAAUAAGUGACACCAAGGCUCAAAAGAAUGAGAGAGAAGUCUAUUGGUCUCUUGAACAGCAGGGAUUUACUCACAGAUCUCUGGAAGUAGCCAGAAUAUGACAGGAUCUCAAUGAAUGGCUGCUUCAUGGAGGCUGGAAG